AUUGAACGCUGGCGGCAGGCCUAACACAUGCAAGUCGAGCGGAUGAAGAGAGCUUGCUCUCUGAUUUAGCGGCGGACGGGUGAGUAAUGCCUAGGAAUCUGCCUGGUAGUGGGGGAUAACGUUCCGAAAGGAACGCUAAUACCGCGUACGUCCUACGGGAGAAAGCAGGGGACCUUCGGGCCUUGCGCUAUCAGAUGAGCCUAGGUCUGAUUAGCUAGUUGUUGAGGUAAUGGCUAACCAAGGCGACGAUCCGGAACUGGUCUGAGAGGAUGAUCAGUCACACUGGAACUGAGACACGGUCCAGACUCCUACGGGAGGCAGCAGUGGGGAAUAUUGGACAAUGGGCGAAAGCCUGAUCCAGCCAUGCCGCGUGUGUGAAGAAGGUCUUCGGGUUGUAAAGCACUUUAAGUUGGGAGGAAGGGCAGUAAGUUAAUACCUUGCUGUUUUGACGUUACCGACAGAAUAAGCACCGGCUAACUUCGUGCCAGCAGCCGCCGUAAUAC
rnacentral:rRNA from 1 species